rnacentral:rRNA from 1 species
GUGGGGAAUAUUGGGCAAUGGGCGCAAGCCUGACCCAGCAACGCCGCGUGAGGGAAGAAGGUCUUCGGAUUGUAAACCUCUGUCCUUGGGGACGAAAAAAAUGACGGUACCCAAGGAGGAAGCUCCGGCUAACUACGUGCCAGCAGCCGCGGUAAUACGUAGGGAGCGAGCGUUGUCCGGAAUUACUGGGCGUAAAGGGUGCGUAGGCGGCUUGGCAAGUCAGAUGUGAAAUCCCCGGGCUUAACUCGGGAGUUGCAUUUGAAACUGCUAGGCUUGAGUGCAGGAGAGGAAAGCGGAAUUCCUAGUGUAGCGGUGAAAUGCGUAGAUAUUAGGAGGAACACCAGUGGCGAAGGCGGCUUUCUGGACUGUAACUGACGCUGAGGCACGAAAGCGUGGGGAGCAAACAGGAUUAGAAACCCGAGUAGUCC